rnacentral:rRNA from 1 species
UACAGAGGUCUCAAGCGUUGUUCGGAUUCAUUGGGCGUAAAGGGUGUGUAGGUGGCGCCAUAAGUCGGGUGUGAAAUCUCGGGGCUUAACUCCGAAACUGCAUUCGAUACUGCGGUGCUUGAGGACUGGAGAGGAGACUGGAAUUCAUGGUGUAGCAGUGAAAUGCGUAGAGAUCAUGAGGAAGACCAGUGGCGAAGGCGGGUCUCUGGACAGUUCCUGACACUGAGACACGAAGGCCAGGGGAGCAAACGGG